UUAUUGGGGUUGCGGACAUAUCAUAACGAAGAGGUAUCGUAAUUGAAGAGGUUUGGAAAGACCCACCACAGAAGGUAAUAGUCCUGUAUGUUAAACGAGAAGACUUCAGAUAUGAUCCAGAGUACCACGGGACACGUGAAACCCUGUGGGAAGCAGGAGGGACCACCCUCCAAGGCUAAAUACUACCUAGUGACCGAUAGCGUAUAGUACCGUGAGGGAAAGGUGAAAAGAACCCCGGGAGGGGAGUGAAAUAGAACCUGAAACCCUGCACUUACAAGCUGUGGAAGCACAUUUCUUGUGUGACCGCGUACUUUUUGUAGAACGGGCCAACGAGUUACGUUAAGUAGCAAGGUUAAGCACUUAAGGUGUGGAGCCGUAGCGAAAGCGAGUUUUAACUGAGCGUUCAGUUACUUGACGUAGACCCGAAACCGGGCGACCUACCCAUGAGCAGGAUGAAGCGAAAGUAAAAUUUCGUGGAGGUCCGAACCCACGAGCGUUGAAAAGCUCGGGGAUGACUUGUGGGUAGCGGUGAAAUUCCAAUCGAGCCCGGAGAUAGCUGGUUCUCCCCGAAAUAGCUUUAGGGCUAGCCUCAAGGUGAGAGAUACGGAGGUAGAGCACUGAAUGUCCUAGGGGGUAUUGCACCUACCGAAGACUAUCAAACUCCGAAUGCCGUCAUCUUAUACUUGGGAGUCAGACUGUGGGUGAUAAGAUUCAUAGUCGAAAGGGCAACAGCCCAGAUCGUCAGCUAAGGUCCCUAAAUGUAAGUUAAGUGGUAAAGGAUGUGGGAUUGCACAGACAACCAGGAUGUUGGCUUAGAAGCAGCCACUCAUUCAAAGAGUGCGUAAUAGCUCACUGGUCGAGUGAUCCUGCGCCGAAGAUUUCCGGGGCUAAAACUUACUACCGAAGCUACGGCAUCAGUAAUGAUGGGUAGGGGAGCUUCCCAUACGGGUUGAAGCAUGACCGUAAGGACAUGUGGACAGUAUGGGAGUGAGAAUGUUGGCAUGAGUAGCGAGAUGUGGGUGAGAAUCCCACAGGCCGUAAACCCAAGGUUUCCAGGGGAAGGUUCGUCCGCCCUGGGUUAGUCGGGACCUAAGCUGAGGCCGAAAGGCGUAGGUGAUGGACAACAGGUUGAUAUUCCUGUACUACCGAUAACCGUUUGAGAGAAGGGAUGACACAGUAGGAUAAGCUAAGCACACUGUUGGUUAUGUGUGCCCAAGCAUUGAGGCAGUCAAAGUAGGCAAAUCCGCUUUGAUAAUGCUGGGAUGUGAUGGGGAGCGAAAUUUAGUAGCGAAGUAGCUGAUUUCACACUGUCAAGAAAAGUCUCUAUCGAGGUUAAAGGUACCCGUACCGCAAACCGACACAGGUGGGUGAGGAGAGUAUCCUAAGGCCAGCGAGAGAACUGUUGUUAAGGAACUCGGCAAAAUGACCCCGUAACUUAGGGAUAAGGGGUGCCACCAUCAGGUGGCCGCAGAGAAUAGGCCCAAGCGACUGUUUACCAAAAACAUAGGUUUCUGCUAAGUCGCAAGACGAUGUAUAGGAGCUGACGCCUGCCCGGUGCUGGAAGGUUAAGGGGAUCUGUUAGAGCAAUCGAAGCAGUGAACUUAAGCCCCAGUAAACGGCGGCCGUAACUAUAACGGUCCUAAGGUAGCGAAAUUCCUUGUCGGGUAAGUUCCGACCCGCACGAAAGGCGUAACGAUUUGGGCACUGUCUCAACAACAGACUCGGUGAAAUUGUAAUUCCGGUGAAGAUGCCGGAUACCUGCGACAGGACGGAAAGACCCCAUGGAGCUU
rnacentral:rRNA from 1 species